UUUUAUUUUAUAAUGCUCUAAAUUGAAGAAAACCAGAUAAGCCACUUCCGUCUGACGACUGAAAAUUCGCCCCACCGAUAUGGCGUCUCCAGCCGCAGCGCCACCGUCACCCUUCCAGUCUCAGAGAUCUCCCCUUUCUUCCUCUCAGGCCGGCGCCGCCGCCUCACCUAUUCAUCGUCUUUCUACCUUCACUUCCCCUCAUCCCACCAACACUACCACUGCCACAUCUCCCUUGGAUUCCUUUGCUUCCGAUCCUGUUUUCUCUGCCUUCCUCUCUCCUUCAUUCUCCUCCAGUUCCUUCUCCUCUGCCGCUCUCUCAUCCGGUUCCCCGGCCUCCACUGCUGAGAAGCUUCAGAAGGCCAUCCGUCUCCUCGAAUCGCAGCUCCGGAGUGAGGUUCUCUCUCGUCACAAUGACCUGCUCUCUCAACUCUCCUCUCUAAAGCACGCUGAGAAUGCCCUCUCCACUAUUCGAUCUGGUGUUUCCUCCCUCCAAUCCUCCGUUCGCCGUGUCCGAUCCGAGCUAUCUGAACCCAGAAAUGUCGUUUCUACCAAGACCGUUCAGUUCUCCAAUCUUCACGAAACUACCGAGCUUCUCCAGCAUACGAUCCGUGCCCUUCGUUUGUCGAAGAAGCUUCGCGACCUUGCUUCUGCCUCUGCUGAUGAGCCUGAGAAGCUGGAUCUUGCUAAGGCCGCUCAGCUGCACUGCGAGAUCUUGAGCCUUUGCAAUGAGUAUGACCUUGCGGGCAUUGACGUUGUCGACGAAGAAUUGAAAUGGGUUAAUGAAAUUGGGGAUAAAUUGAGAAGUGAGGCUAUGAAGGUUUUGGAGAGAGGAAUGGAGGGUCUGAAUCAAGCUGAGGUGGGGACUGGCUUGCAGGUAUUUUACAAUCUUGGUGAAUUGAAGGCGACCAUUGAGCAAUUGAUGAUCAAGUAUAAGGGUAUGGGUGUGAAGAGCAUAAGUGUGGCAUUGGAUAUGAAGUCGAUUUCGGGAACGGCUGGAAGUGGAUAUGGACCGGGAGGAAUUAGGGGAAGUGGGACGCCACAGAUUGGUGGAGGUGCCAAGGCAAGGGAGGCGCUCUGGCAGAGAUUGGGAACUUGUUUGGAUCAGUUGCAUUCGAUUGUUAUAGCUGUUUGGCAUUUACAGAGGGUCUUAUCGAAGAAACGUGACCCCUUUACUCAUGUUUUGCUGCUUGACGAUGUUAUUCAGGAAGGUGAUUCCAUGCUAACAGAUCGAGUUUGGGAGGCUCUUGUGAAGGCUUUUGCUACCCAAAUGAAGUCUGCUUUUACUGCAUCAAGCUUUGUGAAAGAAAUAUUCACUAUGGGGUAUCCAAAACUGUUCUCAAUGAUAGAGAAUCUUCUUGAAAGAAUUUCACGUGAUACUGACGUCAAAGGGGUUGUGCCUGCAAUAAGUUCAGGUGGAAAAGAUCAGAUGGUUGCAGCCAUUGAAAUAUUCCAGAACGCAUUCCUGGGUUUCUGCUUGAGUCGCUUAUCUGAUCUUGUUAGCUCUGUAUUUCCAGUCUCAAGUCGUGGUAGUGUUCCUUCGAAAGAACAGAUCUCAAAAAUCAUAUCACGUAUUCAGGAAGAAAUUGAAUCUGUUCAGAUGGAUGGACACUUAACUCUACUUGUGCUACGUCAAGUUGGCAAGGCUCUUCUCCUGCUGGCUGAAAGAGCUGAAUGUCAGAUAUCUACUGGCCCUGAAGCGCGCCAAGUAAGUGGUCCAGCGACUCCAGCCCAACUUAAGAAUUUCACAUUAUGUCAGCAUCUGCAAGAAAUUCAUUCUCGGGUAUCAUCUAUGAUCACUGGGCUACCCAUCAUUGCUUCUGAUGUUCUGUCUCCCGCAUUAGGUUCAAUAUAUGGGGUUGCCUGUGAUUCCGUGACUUCGUUAUUCCAAGCUAUGCUUGACAGUCUCGAGUCAUGUAUAUUGCAAAUUCAUGACCAGAACUUCGGUGCACUGGGUAUGAAUGCUGCAAUAGACAAUAAUGCAUCACCUUACAUGGAGGAACUGCAGAACUACAUUCUUCAUUUCCGCAGUGAGUUUUUAUCAAGGCUGUUGCCUUCAUCAAAAAAUGCAACCAUCUCUGGAUUGGAAAACAUUUGCACUCAGCUUGUAAGAAGCAUGACUUCCAGAGUGUUAAUUUUCUUUAUCAGGCAUGCUUCUCUGGUCAGACCUCUUUCUGAAUCAGGAAAGUUACGAAUGGCUAGGGACAUGGCUGAACUGGAGUUAGCCGUGGGCCAAAAUUUGUACCCCGUAGAACAACUCGGCGCACCAUAUCGAGCACUUCGAGCAUUUCGUCCUCUUAUAUUCCUGGAAACAUCUCAACUGGAGGCAUCUCCUCUACUCCACGAUCUGCCUGCAAGCGUCAUACUUCACCAUCUAUAUUCUCGAGGUCCUGAGGAAUUGCAGUCACCAAUGCAAAGGAACAAACUUACUCCUCAGCAGUAUUCAUUGUGGUUGGAUUCUCAAGGUGAGGAUCAAGUUUGGAAAGGUAUCAAAGCAACUCUAGAUGACUAUGCUGCCAAAGUAAGGGCCAGAGGAGACAAGGAAUUCACCGCAGUAUACCCUCUCAUGCUUCAAGUAGGAUCAUCAUUGACAGAGAAUUCUCGGGCUACUACAUAACGUGCUUCAUGCCCACAACUGUAUUCUUUUUUCCUUAAAAGUGAGCCUGGACCGUGUUCCAAUGUUAAAUCCUUGACAAUGAUGCUGUGGGAUAAUAGCAGAGAUACCGUGCUCAAUCAAUCACGACACGAAAUUUAGUGAGUACUGAUGGCAUUGCAUCUGCGAGAAUCUGUGCUAUGAAAACAACUGCUCUUCUCUCUCUUCCAGAACUCAUCAAAGCCUUUCCUUUCCUAAUCAGAUUAUAUCAAGUAUGUUGGAAGUUAGUGAUAUUUGCUUUCAGAUUCAAUUAUUUAUACUUGUUAUGCGUUGCGUAGUUUAGGCACCCAAUUAUGUUGAUGCUAAGGUCUAGGAUGCGAUUGAAUAACUACUACUUUUCUAUUUUUGAGUACAAAGCAUAUCCUAAGAUGAUUAUUGUAAUGUUA